GAUGAAGAACGCAGCGAAAUGCGAUAAGUAGUGUGAAUUGCAGAAUUCAGUGAAUCAUCGAAUCUUUGAACGCACAUUGCGCCCUUUGGUAUUCCAAAGGGCAUGCCUGUUCGAGCGUCAUUUGUACCCUCAAGCUUUGCUUGGUGUUGGGCGUCUUGUCUCUAGCUUUGCUGGAGACUCGCCUUAAAGUAAUUGGCAGCCGGCCUACUGGUUUCGGAGCGCAGCACAAGUAGCACUCUCUAUCAGCAAAGGUCUAGCAUCCACUAAGCCUUUUUUUCAACUUUUGACCUCGGAUCAGGUAGGGAUACCCGCUGAACUUAAGCAUAUCAAUAACGGAGGA
rnacentral:misc_RNA from 1 species